GCCCAAUUGAGAGUAUCUAAUAUUGUAUAAUAAUAAUAAUUGGCACUACCUACACUGGCAAAGACAAUUCAAGUUUAUAUGAUAGUAAACCUUGUUUCAAAAUCAAUUUUAUAGGUUGUGUAAGCGGUCGGUUUUUGCGACCUAGGAUGGCCAGUGGCGUAGCCAAUGGAACUGAAGAACGUAGGGCGACAGCCUACGCAAUGACCUCCAGGACUGUUAAUUUAAGAAGUUCAAAUCCAGGCAGAGCAGUGAGGUAUGUUAAUGAUACCCAUCUAUUUAGCAAAUUGUCUAAAAGUUGUAUAGUCUUUUAAGGAAACGUAUUCUGUAACUUUAGUUUAUUGUAUAAUGUUUUAGCAAAACAUUGAGCUAUAAAAUGUGACAAAGUCUUGCAGUUUUCCAUGCAUGUUGCAUGUUCUUGUUCUCGUUGAUCUAUAAUAAUUCAAAUGUGACCUACAUAUAAAUUGCCUUCUUUGUGGCAAUGCCUAUAUAGUUUUUUAGAGCACGUCUCAAAAGGGUUUCUCGGGAAAGUAUAUAUGCUCCAAGCUCCGAUCCCCACUCCCUAAAAUUAAUAUUCAUGCAUCUGCAUUGGCGCUCGAA